rnacentral:rRNA from 1 species
UGGUGGGUAGUUUGACUGGGGCGGUCUCCUCCUAAAGAGUAACGGAGGAGCACGAAGGUUGGCUAAUCCUGGUCGGACAUCAGGAGGUUAGUGCAAUGGCAUAAGCCAGCUUGACUGCGAGCGUGACGGCGCGAGCAGGUGCGAAAGCAGGUCAUAGUGAUCCGGUGGUUCUGAAUGGAAGGGCCAUCGCUCAACGGAUAAAAGGUACUCCGGGGAUAACAGGCUGAUACCGCCCAAGAGUUCAUAUCGACGGCGGUGUUUGGCACCUCGAUGUCGGCUCAUCACAUCCUGGGGCUGAAGUAGGUCCCAAGGGUAUGGCUGUUCGCCAUUUAAAGUGGUACGCGAGCUGGGUUUAGAACGUCGUGAGACAGUUCGGUCCCUAUCUGCCGUGGGCGCUGGAGAACUGAGGGGGGCUGCUCCUAGUACGAGAGGACCGGAGUGGACGCAUCACUGGUGUUCGGGUUGUCAUGCCAAUGGCACUGCCCGGUAGCUAAAUGCGGAAGAGAUAAGUGCUGAAAGCAUCUAAGCACGAAACUUGCCCCGAGAUGAGUUCUCCCUGACUCCUUGAGAGUCCUGAAGGAACGUUGAAGACGACGACGUUGAUAGGCCGGGUGUGUAAGCGCAGCGAUGCGUUGAGCUAACCG